GUGCUUGAUUCAGCAGCACAUAUCCUAAAGUUGGAACAAUACAGAGAAGAUGUACAUGACCUGUGUACAAAGAGGACACACACACACACACACACACACACACACACA
ensembl:snRNA U6 U6 spliceosomal RNA